CAGAACCACCCAAAAAUAUUCUACUCCUAAUCUGGGAGAGAAUAGCCAAAAACAUUUCUGUUUUCCCCUGCGAAAUAAAUGCUCGAGUUAUCUUGUUACUACCACUUGCUAUAUUAUCUCAAGAGAUGAGUGCUCUAAAAAAAGAGAGAAAUGAGGAAAUAAAAAGGGGCAAGUGCCCGGAACCUCGAAAGAAAAGAAAAAGUGAGACGAGAGGUAAAAAUGGACAAGUGUCUGCCAGUAGAAUUAGGGGUACAAAAUACCCCCCUGAGAGUAAAGAAAAAGAAGAGCAUCUCAUUCUCCUCAAAAGUUUCAAAAAAAAGAGCAAGAAAGGUAUAUAUCCCCUCAAAAGAGCAAAUGUAGAAUUAGACUUUCACCACUGUUAUCACCAUCAUCACCAUACACCAUUCAUUUGCCACACAUGCACAUCUUGAUUUGACUUAUUGGCUUGUUACUUUGGAUCUAUGGUUUGACUAUGCAAUAAAUGUCUUGUAAGUAUGUAUACUUUAUCUCCCACCUAUGAGCUCCAGAUAUCAAAAGCCUUAUUAGAGUAGGAUGAGAGAGAAGGAAAUGUCACUAUGCUUUAUACCACAAAUACCACAUAUGUUGAGAGAAGGCAUAUACCAUCACUGCCUUGGUAAGGAUCCAGAAAUACCACAAAAGAGAGAUUUGAGAGUAUCAUACAAGGAAUCUCUGAGUUUUAUUUGAAAAUCUGCAAAAAACUCUACAGCUAUAGCUGAUGAAGAAUAAGAGACAUGGCACUUGACUAGACUGUUCUAUCUUUUAACUACAC
rnacentral:lncRNA from 1 species